rnacentral:lncRNA from 1 species
UGAUACAAUGGGACUCAUAUAUUUCCCUUUACAUUGUCAUGAUUAAAAAAAUGUAGUCUUUUUGACCUAGUUCCUCUUUUGGGUACAUAUGUAUACUCAUGUAUACUUGUAAAUAUAACGAUCAUCGCCGCCACUAUCACCGCUAUUGCCACCACGAUCAACCCCCUCCUUCCAUUCGUGAUGAAACAUAAGAGGCCCGAAAAAGAAUCGGAAAAAAACAAGAAUUUAUUUCUCUUCUUUAGACACCCUGCAAAUCUACAAACAAUAGCCAUAAAGAAAUGUACUAAAAAAAGAAGCUGAUUUCUUAAACGAAAUUUAAUGUAGCAAAGUUUAAUAACUAGGUUAUAGGUUAAAAAUAAAAAAUUAGAGCAUUGAUUUUUCCAUAUAAUAAUAAAUAAUAAGAUUCAAUUCUAUGUUAAAAUCAAGAAUCGCCUACAAAGAAUUAGAAUCUAUAUUAAAAUCGGCAAUGGGCUUUUCCGAAAAUAUACAACUUCAUCAUCAUCAUACUCGGUAAAUCCCAUCAAUAGCACAGCUAAGGUAGUGUUUGAGAAGAGUAAGAUGUACAAAGUCUUACCUCUACGACAUAAGAAUAGAUAUAAGAAUAGAGAUGUUGCUCCCAAUGAGACCUCCGACUCGAAAAUAUAGACCUUAUAUAUAAAAUUAAUAAAUAAUUAAAAACAUUUAACAUCGAAAGUUGUAAAAUAGAAGUCAUACAAAAUACAGAAAAGAGGCACAUGGAUUUUACAAAGAAAUUCUAGAAUUCGAACACAAAAAGAAAAUUCAAAAAUCACAAUAAAAAUGCAUGUAAAAAAUUGUGAGAAAUUUUGAUUUAUUUCCAUAAAAUCCCCUUGAAUUUUUUUCUCAAAUUAUAAUGAGGAACAAGGGUUUUAAAUUUUUGAUAUAACAACUUCUUCCUCAUAAUGAAAAUCAAGAAGUUGGAAAAAAAUCCAGAAACUAUAACCAAAAAUGCUACUAAAAGCCAAGAACAGGUAACAAUGUCUAUUAUAAUUUAUAACCCUUAAAUCAAAACUCAAAAAAAAAAAAGGUUAAAAACUAGAAAUUCGAACAAAAAUGCAAGGAAAACUCAAAAACAUGGAGCUGACAUUAUCAAAUCAAAAUUUGAAACCAUGAAUAAUCAAAAAACAUAAUUAAAAUUGCUGUCACUGUGUCUAAAAUACAAGAAACAAUUGUUUUAAUAGAUGACUAUGAAUGUCACACAACCAAAAAAUUAUUCUGAGGGUCUGCAAGAAGAUCAAAAAAUAAGAAAUUAUAUAAAGAAUUAUGUGAAAAAAAAAUAUGAAAACGUCUCCUGGCGUCGAAGGAAUUGCACGUAUAGAGAAUCACAUUAUGAUAACAGAAUUUGCAAACUUCAACUGGCCCAAUGCCUUUUUGUAAAGUUGAGUUAAAAUUGUAACUUCACAGCAUAAACCAAAAAAGGGAAAUCAUCUCCCAAUUUUCUUACAUACGAUUCGGCAAAACAAAGACGGGUCAGACGGUCAAACAAUGUGAUUACAAAAAAAGAGUUAACUGCCAUUUUAGUCCCUGUGGUUUGGGUCAUUUUGCCAGUUUAGUCCAAAGGUUUCAUUUUUAACCUAUGGGUCCAAAAAGACGAAGAAUAAAUCAACAACGGUGAAGUGGAUAAGGGAUUGGAGAUGUGAAAUUGUGGAGUUAAAUAUGUGUAAUUUGAUGAAAAUGUUGUGAAGAGAAUUAGGGAUUUGAAAAUUUGGGGAAGACGAAUCGUGUGUGUAUGUAGAGAUAUAUUAGAUAC